rnacentral:rRNA from 1 species
GAGAAAUCUGCCUUCAACUCUGGGAUAACUCCGUGAAAACGGGGCUAAUACCGGAUAUGAAACCUGCGGGCAUCCGCGGGUUUGGAAAGUUUUUCGGUUGAAGAUGAUCUCGCGGCCUAUCAGCUUGUUGGUGAGGUAAUGGCUCACCAAGGCGACGACGGGUAGCCGGCCUGAGAGGGCGACCGGCCACACUGGGACUGAGACACGGCCCAGACUCCUACGGGAGGCAGCAGUGGGGAAUAUUGGGCAAUGGAGGAAACUCUGACCCAGCGACGCCGCGUGCGGGAUGAAGGCCUUCGGGUUGUAAACCGCUUUCAGUAGGGAAGAAGCGAAAGUGACGGUACCUACAGAAGAAGCACCGGCUAACUAUGUGCCAGCAGCCGCGGUAAUACAUAGGGUGCAAGCGUUGUCCGGAAUUAUUGGGCGUAAAGAGCUCGUAGGUGGUUCGAUACGUCGGAUGUGAAAAUCUGGGGCUCAACCCCAGACCUGCAUCCGAUACGGUCGAGCUAGAGUUUGGUGGGGGAGACUGGAAUUCCUGGUGUAGCGGUGGAAUGCGCAGAUAUCAGGAGGAACACCAAUGGCGAAGGCAGGUCUCUGGGCCAAUACUGACACCGAGGAGCGAAAGCGUGGGGAGCGAACAGGAUUAGAUACCCUGGUAGUCCACGCCGUAAACGGUGGGCGCUAGUUGUGGGAACCUUCCACGGUUUCUGCGACGCAGCUAACGCAUUAAGCGCCCCGCCUGGGGAGUACGAUCGCAAGAUUAAAACUCAAAGGAAUUGACGGGGCCCCGCACAAGCAGCGGAGCAUGCGGCUUAAUUCGACGCAACGCGAAGAACCUUACCAAGGCUUGACAUAUACAGGAAUAUGGCAGAGAUGUCAUAGCGGUAAAACGUCUGUAUACAGGUGGUGCAUGGUUGUCGUCAGCUCGUGUCGUGAGAUGUUGGGUUAAGUCCCGCAACG